AUUCGGCUUGCUGGGAGAAAAAAGUGCGCAGGCGCCGACCGCUCGAGCUCCAAUGCGAGUCAAGAUAGGCCUAAAUUCGAAGGAACCACCUAAAAGUUCAAGGAUAUUUGUGGAAUUUCAAGGCAAUAUGCAAAAUCUCAACAGACUGAAAGUGAACCUUUAUGGGGAAUGCAUCAAUGCCCAGAAAUCUGUCCUUCCUUUUCCUACAUUAUCAGAAGGAAAGGAACUCCACUCCAAAUCCUUGAAACUGGUCCGGAAGAAUAUCAUGGUGAAUGCUAUUAAAAGCUACCAAGAGUUCAGAUAAAACCAGGAUGGAUGACCCCCAUUCCGCUCCUAUCAGAUCUGCUUUAUAUCUUAAAAGCAAGACCAGUGUUGUUUCCAUCUGGAGG